rnacentral:rRNA from 1 species
GACGAACGCUGGCGGCGUGCUUAACACAUUCAAGUCGAACGGAAAGGCCCUGCUUUUGUGGGGUGCUCGAGUGGCGAACGGGUGAGUAACACGUGAGUAACCUGCCCUUGACUUUGGGAUAACUUCAGGAAACUGGGGCUAAUACCGGAUAGGAGCUCCUGCUGCAUGGUGGGGGUUGGAAAGUUUCGGCGGUUGGGGAUGGACUCGCGGCUUAUCAGCUUGUUGGUGGGGUAGUGGCUUACCAAGGCUUUGACGGGUAGCCGGCCUGAGAGGGUGACCGGCCACAUUGGGACUGAGAUACGGCCCAGACUCCUACGGGAGGCAGCAGUGGGGAAUAUUGCACAAUGGGCGGAAGCCUGAUGCAGCAACGCAGCGUGCGGGAUGACGGCCUUCGGGUUGUAAACCGCUUUCGCCUGUGACGAAGCGUGAGUGACGGUAAUGGGUAAAGAAGCACCGGCUAACUACGUG